CUGAACGAUCCUUUCACAGCUCUGUCUACUGGAAUGUUAUAAAUUAGUGGAACAUCAAAGGCCAUCAAGUCCAAUGCUUGCCUCCCCUCCAGAACUGUGCUGCUCACUGUCAGAUGACCUACACAUGACAGAUUGAGGAGGGCGCUCUUUCCCAGUAUCCCCAAGCAGUCACCUGAAUCAGGAAUAUUUUAAAGACUAAAUGCCAGAAUAUGCAGAAGUUGAAUGAGAGAACAGAUUACGGAAGCACUCUGGAAGCUGUACAGCACUAGACAGUAGAGAGAGAGAAUGAGAGAGAGAGAGCAUGC